UAGGUUGAAGCCCGCUGGCUUGGGUUUUUAGUUGUUAAUUAAAGUUUCGUAGGGUCGAAGCCUACCAAUCUAGG
rnacentral:tRNA from 1 species